CCUACGGGAUGCAGCAGUCGAGAAUCAUUCACAAUGGGGGAAACCCUGAUGGUGCGACGCCGCGUGGGGGAAUGAAGGUCUUCGGAUUGUAAACCCCUGUCAUGUGGGAGCAAAUUAAAAAGAUAGUACCACAAGAGGAAGAGACGGCUAACUCUGUGCCAGCAGCCGCGGUAAUACAGAGGUCUCAAGCGUUGUUCGGAAUCACUGGGCGUAAGGCGUGCGUAGGCUGUUUCGUAAGUCGUGUGUGAAAGGCGCGGGCUCAAGCCGCGGACGGCACAUGAUACUGCGAGACUAGAGUAAUGGAGGGGGAACCGGAAGUCUCGGUGUAGCAGUGAAAUGCGUAGAUAUUGAGAGGAACACUCGUGGCGAAGGCGGGUUCCUGGACAUUAACUGACGCUGAGGCACGAAGGCCAGGGGAGCGAAAGGGAUUAGAUACCCGAGUAGUC
rnacentral:rRNA from 1 species